AAAUGAUUACUUGUCUCAGAACAAUGAGUUGUACACGUGAAUCCGACGAUAUUUGCGCGUGAUACAAGACAUUAGAUCAAUACAAUAUAACAACGCUAGAUGUCACGAAGGUAAACAUAUAAAUACAGAGAUUUCGGAGCAGUAGCCGAAUUGUCGUUUCUCGACUACUCGGUGUCACUUCAAAUUCUUCGUGAACUUUCCGGAUUGUCAUUUAUCGAUUGAGUCGAGGAUCAAGGAUUGCUAUUGUGUGUAUUACAGAGCGAGAAUUGUCGCGGCAACGGCGACGACCGCUCGACUUACGUGUGAACGAGAUCCACAGCGCAUUAUUCUCCAAAGCAAAUUCCUCUUCUUCUAAUAAUUAGAUAGCCGCAGCAACGGGCGUAUUACGAUCAAGGCGUUCAGGAUUCGUCCCGAGUGCGCCACCGCCUCCGCAGUCGCUGACUACACGGACGAAUCGGCCAGCUAAGAAAUCCAAAUCUGCCCUCUGUGCCGAGAGCUGUUUCCGCGCCCACCAAUCAGGCCGGUAACAGGGAUGAAUCUUCCUCCCUUAGCGGACAAACCGCUGCGUUCGCGUCCGCUAGUUCCGAGUUUGCCGGUACAGGUACGCCCGCAAUGCCUGAAACCGCCAGUUAACUGGCCGCCAUGUCGCGUUCCUACUCGCCCCAUGAAGAUUGUAAUCAGAAAGAUAGAAAAAUUUAAUCAUAAGAUUACAAUUGUAAAACCACUAGAAAGAAAGGAAGUAGAAGAGAAGAACUGAAUGUUAAUUGUCAAAUAAACGAAGGAAAAUGUA
rnacentral:lncRNA from 13 species